GAUGAACGCUAGCGGGAGGCUUAACACAUGCAAGUCGAGGGGCAGCAUAGGGUAGCAAUACUCUGAUGGCGACCGGCAAACGGGUGAGUAACGCGUAUGCAACCUACCCUGUACAGGGGGAUAACCCGGAGAAAUUCGGACUAAUAUCCCGUAAUAAUGUCCGGAGGCAUCUUUGGAUAUUUAAAGUUCCGACGGUACGGGAUGGGCAUGCGUAACAUUAGCUGGUUGGUAAGGUAACGGCUUACCAAGGCUAUGAUGUUUAGGGGUCCUGAGAGGGUGGUCCCCCACACUGGUACUGAGACACGGACCAGACUCCUACGGGAGGCAGCAGUGAGGAAUAUUGGUCAAUGGGCGCAAGCCUGAACCAGCCAUCCCGCGUGCAGGAAGACGGCCCUAUGGGUUGUAAACUGCUUUUCCAGGGAGAGAAACUUACGCACGUGUUGCGUGACUGACGGUACCCUGGGAAUAAGCAUCGGCUAACUCCGUG
rnacentral:rRNA from 1 species